rnacentral:lncRNA from 1 species
AAGGGGUGAGUUGGAGAAGCAAGAGAAUGAAAACAGGUAAACCCAUUUUUUGGUUGUCUAGUCAAGAACUAAUGGGAGAGAGGAAAGGCAGGAACCCCAGGGUUUUACAAGGAGAUGUCACAGAAGUAAAUACCAACCUGAGAUAGAACUACCCACCUAUGGGACAGGGUAGAGGUGGGAGUGAGAAAGCGAAGAUCAAAUAGGAUUUCGGAUUUCUAAACAAGGUAUCUGAGAAGAUAAUAAAUUCAAAGCAUUAGCAAGCCCUGGAGAAGUUUGGAGACAGGAAAGUAGUUUGAUUUUAGACAUAGUGAAUUUGAUGAAGAGCUGAUGGUAGGCCAUCCAUGGGAAAUAUUCAGUAAAUGUUUGCCAAUUUACUCCUGAAAUUCAGAAUAGCAUUCAAAAUGGGUAACUAUAGAAAGCAAAAUCUCUUCAAACAAAUAAACUAAUGGGAUGAUAAAAAGGAUGAGGCAAGGUAGAGACAGGCAAGGGUUGGCUCAGGUUGAAGAACCUUUUGACUCACUAUUUCUCAUAAUUUUUAAGUGGGAUAGAGGAAGUACCUGAGGAUCU